CUGUCCUCGUGUCCUUCCGUUCUCUGAACCUGGGCAUUUCGUCUGUUUUUCGGGUGAGAGGUGCCGGUGAAAUUUAAUCAAGGAGGUCCUUUUCUGCCCUCCUUGUACAAGAGAAUUUUACCUGUGACUUUUGCUUUUUUGAGCGGCAUUGAGCUUUACUGCCCUGAUGGGGACCUCCAGUACCAUCAUGACAUAAAGUGGUGACAGCUGCCAUCCUUGUCUUUCUUGGGACUUCAAAGGGAAAUUUUUCAACUUUUCACCAAUUCUAGGUCCAUCCACAUCUCUACAAAUGAC